AUGCCGCCGCCGCCGCCGCCGCCGACGCGGCCUGCACCGGCGCUGCCGGACGAGCUUCUAGAGGAGAUCUUCCUCCGCCUCCCUCCGGACGAGCCGGAGCACCUCGUGCGCACCUCCCUCGCCUGCAAGCUCUGGCUCGGCCUCCUCUCCGGCGCUCGCUUCCGCGGCCUCUACGGCGAGUUCCAUGGAGCUCCCCCCAUGCUGGGAUUCCUCUACAACUGGUUCUUUUGCAGCGGCCCCAAGGAGGAUGACCCCGUGGCAAACUUCGUCUCCACCACGAAAUUCGGUGCGCUCGUUCCCGACGGCGAUGGCUGGGACCGUCAGUACACUCCCUGGGACUGCCGCCACGGCCGAGUCCUCCUCGGGGACUACACUGGGCUCAUCGUUUGGGACCCCAUGACAGGCCGCCGGAUGAAGCUGGAACCGCCCGUCGGGUAUGUUGGCGCUGCCGUGCUCUGCGCUGCGAGGGGCUGUGACCACCGUGCCUGUCAUGAGGGCCCCUUCCGAGUUGUCGUCAUCGGCCUGGACAUGAAUGAGGAUGAUGGCGAUUGUGUUGCGCACGCCUGCGCGUCCUCGCCGGUGACGCCCGAGUGGAGCAGGCUAUGCUCGGAUUCUCAUUUUGAUGGGUGGAGCAGGGCGUGCUCUGAUUCUCGUUUUGAUGGGUGGAGCAAGCAGUGCUCUGGUCUUUAUCUUCUUGCAGGCGAUCCAAAAAUCGAUGCACUGCCUCCUGUCCUCGUUGAUGACGCACUUCACUUCAGGCUUACAGAUGACGAUGAGCGUGUAGGAAUUCUCAAGUACGACUUGAGCUCUAAUUGCUUAUCAAUGAUUGAUGUGCCGCUUACGAGGUUGGCCAUUGUCUGGCCCGCUAUCCUCAUGGCAUUGGAGGAUGGCAGCUUGGGGUUAGCACACUUGGACGGGUUAACCCUCUAUCUAUGGUCAAGACAGAUAGAUUCCAACGGAGUUGCGUCAUGGACUCAGCAUAAAGUCAUCGAUCUAAAGGAACCUCUCCCCAUUCAAAAUCCCAAGAAAAGAAUUAGUGUUAUUGGAUCUGUCGAGGGCCAUGAUAUCAUUUUCGUGAACAUAGAUCUUGGCAUCUACGAGAUUGAUUUGAAGACACUACGGUGGAAGAAGCUAUGGAAGAGAGAAAAAUUCCGUUCUUUGAUUCCAUACAUGAGCUUCUACAAUCGACAAGAAAGGGUGAGGCCCUGCAAGGCAUUGACAACAGAUGAUUGA
rnacentral:rRNA from 1 species